GACGAACGUUGGCGGCGUGCUUAAUACAUGCAAGUCAACUGAAGCAGUGGUAGCAAUAUCGCUGUGGAGGUGGCGCACGGGUGAGUAACACGUAGGUAAUCUGCCUUCAGGUCUGGCAUAACUCCGGGAAACCGGGGCUAAUAGCAGAUGAUGCAGCGGCUCGACAUCGAGACAGUUGUUAAAGCUAUGGCGCCUGAAGAUGAGCCUGCGUCUGAUUAGCUAGUUGGCGGGGUAACGGCCCACCAAGGCAACGAUCAGUAGCUGGUCUGAGAGGAUGAUCAGCCACACUGGAACUGAGACACGGUCCAGACUCCUACGGGAGGCAGCAGUAAGGAAUAUUGCUCAAUGGGAGAAAUCCUGAAGCAGCAACGCCGCGUGAGGGACGAAGGGCUUUUGCUUGUAAACCUCUGUAGUGAGAGAAAAAAAUCCCAAUCUUUGGGACAUGGUGGUAUCUCAAAAGUAAGCCCCGGCUAACUACGUG
rnacentral:rRNA from 1 species